UGGGGAAUUUUGGACAAUGGGCGCAAGCCUGAUCCAGCCAUGCCGCGUGCGGGAAGAAGGCCUUCGGGUUGUAAACCGCUUUUGUCAGGGAAGAAAUCUUCUGAGUUAAUACCUCGGGAGGAUGACGGUACCUGAAGAAUAAGCACCGGCUAACUACGUGCCAGCAGCCGCGGUAAUACGUAGGGUGCAAGCGUUAAUCGGAAUUACUGGGCGUAAAGCGUGCGCAGGCGGUUUUGUAAGACAGAGGUGAAAUCCCCGGGCUCAACCUGGGAACUGCCUUUGUGACUGCAAGGCUUGAGUGCGGCAGAGGGGGGAUGGAAUUCCGCGUGUAGCAGUGAAAUGCGUAGAUAUGCGGAGGAACACCGAUGGCGAAGGCAAUCCCCUGGGCCUGCACUGACGCUC
rnacentral:rRNA from 1 species